rnacentral:rRNA from 1 species
AGUGAACGCUGGCGGUAGGCCUAACACAUGCAAGUCGAACGGCAGCACAGUAAUAGCUUGCUCUUACGGGUGGCGAGUGGCGGACGGGUGAGGAAUACAUCGGAAUCUACUUUUUCGUGGGGGAUAACGUAGGGAAACUUACGCUAAUACCGCAUACGACCUACGGGUGAAAGCAGGGGAUCUUCGGACCUUGCGCGAUUGAAUGAGCCGAUGUCGGAGUAGCUAGUUGGCGGGGUAAAGGCCCACCAAGGCGACGAUCCGUAGCUGGUCUGAGAGGAUGAUCAGCCACACUGGAACGGAGACACGGUCCAGACUCCUACGGGAGGCAGCAGUGGGGAAUAUGAGACAAUGGGCGCAAGCCUGAUCCAGCCAUACCGCGUGGGUGAAGAAGGCCUUCGGGUUGUAAAGCCCUUUUGUUGGGAAAGAAAAGCAGCAGGUUAAUACCCCGCUGUUCUGACGGUACCCAAAGAAUAAGCACCGGCUAACUUCGUG